rnacentral:rRNA from 1 species
CACUUCUAAGGAAGGCAGCAGGCGCGCAAAUUACCCAAUCCUGACUCAGGGAGGUAGUGACAAGAAAUAACAAUAAACCGGCUUAUGCCGGUUUAAUUGGAAUGAGUACAAUUUAAACAUCUUAACGAGGAACAAUUGGAGGGCAAGUCUGGUGCCAGCAGCCGCGGUAAUUCCAGCUCCAAUAGCGUAUACUAAAGUUGUUGCAGUUAAAAAGCUCGUAGUUGGAUUUCUGUGGGGACGGAACGGCCGGCCGCACAUCGCGGUUCGAGCUAGCGCUUUCCCUACAUCCUGCCGCGAACCGUGCUACCAUUAGUUUGGUGGCGCCGGGGAUCGGCUCGAUUACUUUGAGAAAAAUAGAGUGUUCAAAGCAGGCCACAUGCCUUGAAUAAGUUAGCAUGGAAUAAUAACUAAGGACUUCGGUUCUAUUUUGUUGGUGUUCGGGACUGAAGUAAUGAUUGAUAGGGACAGUUGGGGCGGUCUGUAUUCCAAAGCGAGAGGUGAAAUUCUUAGACCUUCGGAAGACAAACAGCUGCGAAAGCGUUCCGCAAGGAUGUUCCCUUUGAUCAAGAACGAAAGUUGGGGGAUCGAAGACGAUCAGAUACCGUCGUAGUCUCAACUAUAAACUAUACCAGCUAGGGAUCGGCCAACGUUAUUUUAUACCGACUUGGUCGGCACCUUAUGAGAAAUCAAAGCAUCUGGGUUCCGGGGGGAGUAUGGUCGCAAGGCUGAAACUUAAAGGAAUUGACGGAAGGGCACCACCAGCCGUGGAGCCUGUGGCUUAAUUUGACUCAACACGGGAAAACUUACCAGGUCCAGACAUAGUAAGGAUUGACAGAUUGAUAGCUCUUUCUUGAUUCUGUGGGUGGUGGUGCAUGGCCGUUCUUAGUUGGUGGAGUGAUUUGUCUGGUUAAUUCCGUUAACGAACGAGACCCCAGCCUGCUAAAUAGCGCGCGUGAGCUUUGCUCGCGGCGAGCUUCUUAGAGGGACUAUGAUGCGCGAUAGCACAUGGAAGUUUGGGGCAAUAACAGGUCUGUGAUGCCCUUAGAUGUUCUGGGCCGCACACGGGCUACACUGGCGCCUGCAACGAGCAUAUCAGCUGGCCCGAGAGGGUCUUGGCUAAUCUUUUGAACCGGCGCCGUGCUUGGGAUUGACCUUUGCAAUUGUUGGUCAUGCAACGAGGAAUGCCUUGUAAACGCGAGUCAUCAGCUCGCAUUGAAUACGUCCCUGCCCUUUGUACACACCGCCCGUCGCUCCUACCGAUGAAUGUUCCGAUGAAAUUUUCGGAGAGCACCUGUGAACUUGGCUCUGCCUUGCGAACGGGAGGCUCAAAGUCACUUAAAUCUGAACAUUUCG